rnacentral:rRNA from 1 species
UACAGAGGUCCCGAGCGUUGUUCGGAUUCACUGGGCGUAAAGCGUGCGCAGGCGGUCUGUUAAGACCGAUGUGAAAUCCCCGGGCUUAACCUGGGAACUGCAUUGGUGACUGGCAGGCUUUGAGUGUGGCAGAGGGAGGUAGAAUUCCAGCGUGGUAAGCAGUGAAAUGCGCAGAUAAUCGGGAGGAACACCAAUGGCGAAGGCAGCUUGCUGGGACGGUACUGACGCUCGAGACGCGAAAGCGUGGGGAGCAAACAGG